AAGGAUCUUCGGGGCAAGGUGAAAUUCCUGACCGGCGGUGACGCAUUCUAAUUAUGCGAAGCCCGCGACUCUCUGCUGCAUGAUGCUGCAGGGACUGACUUGGUGCAAUUCCAAGGCCGACGGUAUAGUCCGGAUGGUAGAAGAUCAUC
rnacentral:ncRNA from 2 species